AGAGGGCAGACAGGCUACCUGAGACAUGAAACAGAGAGGUGAGAGGGCAGACAGGGUACGUGAGACAUGAAACAGAGAGGUGAGAGGGCAGACAGGCUACCUGAGACAUGAAACAGAGAGGUGAGAGGGCAGACAGGCUACCUGAGACAUGAAACAGAGAGGUGAGAGGGCAGACAGGCUACCUGAGACAUGAAACAGAGAGGUGAGAGGGCAGACAGGCUACCUGAGACAUGAAACAGAGAGGUGAGAGGGCAGACAGGCUACCUGAGACAUGAAACAGAGAGGUGAGAGGGCAGACAGGCUACCUGAGACAUGAAACAGAGAGGUGAGAGGGCAGACAGGCUACCUGAGACAUGAAACAGAGAGGUGAGAGGGCAGACAGGCUACCUGAGACAUGAAACAGAGAGGUGAGAGGGCAGACAGGCUACCUGAGACAUGAAACAGAGAGGUGAGAGGGCAGACAGGCUACCUGAGACAUGAAACAGAGAGGUGGGAGGGCAGACAGGCUACCUGAGACAUGAAACAGAGAGGUGGGAGGGCAGACAGGCUACCUGAGACAUGAAACAGAGAGGUGAGAGGGCAGAGAGGCUACCUGAGACAUGAAACAGAGAGGUGAGAGGGCAGAGAGGCUACCUGAGACAUGAAACAGAGAGGUGGGAGGGCAGACAGGCUACCUGAGACAUGAAACAGAGAGGUGGGAGGGAAGACAGGCUGUUACUGUAUUUAUUAUUGUGCAAUUUGCCUAAAUUUACAUUUAAGUCAUUUAGCAGACACUCUUAUCCAGAGCGACAGAAACACUUCAACCACUACAUUUAAUUAGUUUAGCUGUGGCGUCAUUAAGUCACGCUGUUUUUAUCUUCACAAUAAACGCACCCU